rnacentral:lncRNA from 1 species
UUCCACUUAAGAAGUUGUCUACUUCAAGGCCUUCUUGUAACUUCUCCAGCUUCUUUUCAAGACCUUGAUUCUCUUCCUCCUUACCUGUUAACUUCUCCUCUAAUGUCUCAACCUUGUGCUUUAGGUCUAUAUUAUUCUCUCGUAAACCGCUAACAGUUUCAGCAAAAGCUUUGACCUCUUCAGCCAUUUCAGACCCAAGGGACUUGUAAACCACACACAUGUUACUCAAAGCAACAACUUCCUGAAGAGCUGCAUCGUUUUCUUCCUCAACUACACACAUUCCAUUUUUGAGUUGUGAGAACUCUGAAAGCAAAGUUUUGUUAGCCUUGAGUGUAGAGGAAUGAUCUUGUUUCAAAACCAUGUAUGACUCAUGCAACCUCUCAAACUUUGAAUGCUCCGUUUGUAUUUCAUCUCUGAGCUCUUGCUCUUGCUGUUCUCUUCUGAUCAGUUCUGAUUUCAACAACCGGUUCGCCUUCAUUACCUCUUGCUUGUCCUUUUCCAGCAUGUUACCAUCUGAAUGAAACUGUCCAAGUAGAGACAAGAGCACUGAGUUCUCAACCACAAGUCUAUGCAUCUCAUAUUCAGCGCUUGAAAGUGAACACUUUAACCCAUUAAUCUCUCCCACAACAAGUGAUGUUUGGUCUUUCGUAAUCUUACAAUCUGCUUCAACUUGAAGUGCCUUCACCACUUGAUAGAUUGCACUCCUCAAGCUAUCAAUCUCAUCCAAGAAGAUCUCUGCUUCCAUCUGCUGCUCAAGAUUCUCACUCUCCAGUUCGGAUAUGAGCUUCUCUGAAAGUUCUGAUGCCUCUUCAUGCUUCUGACACUCAAUCAUUAGAGAGAAGUUCUUCUGCUCCAGCUCUUCUAUAAGCUUCUGCAAGAUGAAGAUCUCCACUUGUUUGUUUACAACUCUGUCAAGCUCUUCCUCAUACUCUCUUUUCCUUGAGCGACACUCUUCUCUAAGAAGGCUCACGUUCCUCUGAAGAUCUCCUAAUCUGCUUUCAGUAGAUCUUUUAUAAUCAGCAUGCUCCUGCUUCUCAGUGGAAAGCGAGACUUGUAACUCUUCCACUUGAAUGCUCUUGAGCUUCUUCUCCUUUUGUAGAUCAGUGUAUUUUACUUCUAGUUCUGUAAACUUCUUCUCCAAGACUCCGAGCUUCUCCUCAACCUUAUGCAGUUGAGACACAAGAGAUUCUUUCUCCUUUAUGAGUUCAGACUUAUCAUUCUUGAGCAAAGUGAACAAGUCUUCAAAGCACUUUGACUUGUCCCUUAGGCUUUCAAGCUCAAUGUUUGCAUUAGAAAGGGAUCUCUCCAGUGAAGAGUUCUUCUCCAAGAGCUUCUGCAUGUUCACAGUCAUGAUUUGUAACUGAGAAAACAGGUUUGUUCUCUCAUCAGCAAGCUCAGAUCUCUCUCUUCUUAAAGACUCACAUCUUUCGUGCAGAUCCUUUGCUUUCUCUUUGGAACCAUCUAGCUUUGUGUUUGAUAUCAAAAGCAGUUUCUCCAAAUCAGCAUUCUUCUUUAUAAUGUUAUCCACUUCAGACAGCUUUCUUGUUAGAGUGUCUUUAUCAUCUCUUUGUUUGGUGCAUAACUGGAGAAGCUUUGAGUUCUCUUCUUGUAGUUUCUUCACUGAGAAGACAAGUGAUGACGGAUCAAAACCUGUGAGCCUCACUUGUUCAAUUAGUUGCUGGUAUCUCCUAUUCAAGUUGUCUAUAUAACCCUUCAGACGGUGUAUCUCUACUUGAAGAGCACUGCUCUGAUUCAUCUGUUUUGCAACUUCUUCCUCAAGCUUUUCUUUCAUCUUCUUCAAGCAAGAGAUCUCAUUUCUCUGUAUCUGCAAGGUGAUAGUAGAAGAGUCAUUAUGAUUACUCAUCUCAAGCUCUCUCAAAAUUUGAGUCUUGCUUUGGAGUUCCAUAGUGAGAACUUUCUGCUCCUCUUGAGAUUGAGAAUGCAAACUCUCCAAGCUUCUAAGACUAGCUUCAAGUUCCGAAAACCGAUACUGCUGUUCUUGCAUUAGAUCUUGAAGCUUUUCAAGCUCCUUUUGCUUCUGAACAAGUUCUUGAUCUUUAUCUGACAUCUUCUGCGCUAAAUUAUCUGCUUCUAACUUCAGAUUUUGAUUGAAACUCUCCAAAAGAGCACACUGCUCCUCCACAGUCUUUACCUUUGCAGCUCCAGCAAGAACUUCACUGCUCAGUCUUUUGGCAUUGUCUUGAGCAUAAGAAACCUCUCUCUCUAGAUUUGAUAUUGUCUCCAGACACUUCUGAUAUCUAACUUUCAAGUCUUCAUUCACUUCAUUUAACUUCACAACUUCUUGUUUCAAAGCUUUGGUUUCAUUCUCUGCCUGCUCAGAUUUGUCCUUGAACAUUUCAACACUCUCCUCAGCAUCUCUAAUCCUCUUCUCUAAAACAGAUAUCAACUCAAGGCAUUUAUUGUAUUGCACCAAGCCAGCCUCUUUCUCAGAUUGCAAUCUUGAAACUUCAAGCUCAGGGAUGUUUAACAGUCAAUACACAAGAAAACCGGAAAUGAAGUCAUUGGAGACAGUGGCAGAGGAUGGAGCUGAAGAAAUGCCUGAGAUUCUUAGCCACUCCUCUAUAGACAACGUCAAUGCUGUCUCUCCCAAUGGUAAGAGGGUCUCUCCUCCACAUCUGGACUCUUCAAGCUCAGGGAGAAGAGGUGGUGGGAGGAAACUGAUACUGCAAUCCAUUCCAACGUUUCCUUCUCUCACUCCUCAACACUAAAAAAACAUUUUGUGUGUUGUAAGGCUGCACCGUGUAGCUUUGAAAAUUCUUUGAAUCUUUUUUCAAGGUGAGAGAUGAUAGAAGAAGUCAACUUCUAGUUGGUUGUAAGUUAGCAUACAUUGGCAUGUGUAAUAAAGAUGUGAACCCAUCAUGCUCUACAUCACAAAACCAAACAUUUCUUGUAAUAUAUAUCUAUAUAUAUAUAUAUAUAUAUGCUUCUUUGUCCACUGAACUAGCUUUAUUUCACAAUAUAUCUUAGGCAAAUCGCUCCAUUAUUUCAAAACUCAUACCAUAAUAGUACUUCUAUAGUCAGUCCAAUGAAUAUCUUUACCACAUAGUACUUAUAAACCAUCUUGCUCUUCUUUAGAAGAAGAUCUUAUAAACCCACAGAACCUGUUUUUCUUCUGUCUUGCACUUCUCUUCCCGCCCUUGUGAAUCAUGUCUCUGAAGAGAAUCAGUGUCCUACUUCGUUUGCUUUUAGCUCCAUCUUCAAGCUUCAGAACCGCUUGCUCAAUACUCUGCAUUUUGUUCUGCAACUGCUCAAUCUUCUCAGACCCGUUUCUUGACUUCUCCAUAAUCACUUUUCUGUAUAUAUCUCUGGAAUCUCCAGAAGUCUCCUCGAUUUCCUUUGAAAGGAUCUCGUUUGUGUUUGUCAUCUGCAAGACGGCUUCUUCCAUCUCUUUCAACUGUCUCUUCACUAUAACUAUAUCAGCUUUGCUGACUUUGCCUUGUUUCCCGUUCAUCUCCAGCUUGCUUUUCAUAUCUGUUAUGCUAAUCCGGAGACUUAAGAGCCUUCUUGAAUCAGACAGAAGUCUCUCCAUGAUCUUUGCCUUGUCUUCUAUGUUUCUAGAUAACUCUUGCUUGUCAACAACUCCAACCACUUUCUCUGAUUCUAUUGAGGGGUUCCUGCUUAGGCGAUAUGUCCUCUUACUGUUUUUGAGAAGGGUCGUCUCUGAUUCAGCAGAUUCUUCCGAAAACUCAAACAUCUUGUCAUUUUUCACUUCCCUCAUCUCAGGCUUCGAUCUUGGUCGGCUAGAUUCACCAGUGACCUGUAUCUCUUCAGUCUUCCUGCGGCUUCUGCUUCUGUAGGCGCCCCUUCGUGUUCUUUGCCUUAAAAGCCUUGGCUUCACUUCCUUCUGAAUCACAAUUCCAUUUCCUUGAGUGGUGAUGCUUUCACUUUCUUCAAGCUCAUGACAAAAAGCUUCUUCCUGUGAAGUAAAUAAUUUUAGUUCAUGAAGAUGAGCUUAAACAUUUUUUUGGUAAUCAAAGAUGGUUUCAAUUCUUUUCCGGGAACCUAAGCAAUGUAAAUAGUCCAUCCCAACGAGAACUGAACCCGAAUGGUGCAGUGCCUACUAGACAUUUCUUUACCACUAGACCAACAGCUCGUUGGUUGAGCUUAAACAUUUGAAAUAAAUGGAAGACUUACCUCUCUUUGUUGAUAGUCUGAUGCAGGAAAUUUUGUUAAAGCUUGACUACUUUUCUCAAGAGAUUUUACAUCUUUUGCCAAAGAUGCUAUCACAGGAUCAUAAGCUGACAAUUGAGUCUUCAGCUCAGUCACUUGAGACUCCAAAAAGAAAACUCUUUCUCUCAUCUGUUUCAUCUUAUUCGUCUUUGCAACAUCUUCCUCUUUGAGAUUUUCACAUACUCCAUUGAGUUCUUUAACUUUGUUCUCAAGAAAGAAUUCGCGGAUAGAUGAGAUCUGAAGAUCAAAGUAGAAAGAUGUUGCAUCAGCAUCCCAAAGUCCAACCUCGUUGCUUUUCUCUUGCAGCUCCAAACUAAGUAACUCUUCUCUAAGCUGUCUUCUUUGGAUAUCUUUAUGUAAUAACUCUAUCCCUGACUUCAAAUUCUCAUUCAAUGUGUUGAGAUUCCUAAUUUCUUCCUCUUGCCUCCCAGCAAGAUCUGACAUUUCAAAAAUCUGCCUCUGUAAGUCCCCCCUCAUGUUUCUUGAUUCUUCAAUGUCUUUCCUCAGCUCCUCGACUUCUUUGUGCAGCUCUUCAUUUUCAAUGUGUGUAGCCUUGAGCAUAUGCUCUGCUUCUGUGAUCUCCAUUUCCCUAUGUUCCAAGAUUUCGUCUACAUUAAAAACCUGACGUUCCAAGAUUCCACUUAAGAAGUUGUCUACUUCAAGGCCUUCUUGUAACUUCUCCAGCUUCUUUUCAAGACCUUGAUUCUCUUCCUCCUUACCUGUUAACUUCUCCUCUAAUGUCUCAACCUUGUGCUUUAGGUCUAUAUUAUUCUCUCGUAAACCGCUAACAGUUUCAGCAAAAGCUUUGACCUCUUCAGCCAUUUCAGACCCAAGGGACUUGUAAACCACACACAUGUUACUCAAAGCAACAACUUCC